CCUACGGGAGGCAGCAGUGAGGAAUAUUGGUCAAUGGACGAGAGUCUGAACCAGCCAAGUAGCGUGAAGGAUGACUGCCCUAUGGGUUGUAAACUUCUUUUAUAUGGGAAUAAAAUGUUCCACGUGUGGGAUUUUGUAUGUACCAUAUGAAUAAGGAUCGGCUAACUCCGUGCCAGCAGCCGCGGUAAUACGGAGGAUCCGAGAGUUAUCCGGAUUUAUUGGGUUUAAAGGGAGCGUAGGUGGAUUGUUAAGUCAGUUGUGAAAGUUUGCGGCUCAACCGUAAAAUUGCAGUUGAAACUGGCAGUCUGGAGUACAGUAGAGGUGGGCGGAAUUCGUGUUGUAGCGGUGAAAUGCUUAGAUAUCACGAAGAACUCCGAUUGCGAAGGCAGCUCACUGGACUGCAACUGACACUGAGGCUCGAAAGUGUGGGUAUCAAACAGGAUUAGAUACCCGGGUAGUC
rnacentral:rRNA from 1 species